CCUGGGCUCCAGUUUCCCUUGGGGCUCUGCAGUAAGGGGCUGGGGGCCCCUGGUGCCAAGGGGAAUGGGGUGCUGGGGGGCCUAGGUCUCAGCUGGAGAGACCUCAGAGCAUAGAGCAUUCCGCAUGGCUCUUUCUUUUGCUUCCCUCUCUGUGUCCUCUCUCUCCUCAAGACCAUUCCUUGAGUCCUUGCCCCACUUGCCCUGAGGUUGUCGCUCCAGGAGGAGCCUAAGCCUAAAUGGCUGUCAGGAGCCCCGCAUCCUGCCCUGGUUCAGUCCUUAAUUUGCUCUCUUUGAUUUUGGACUAACCACUUCUCCCUGAGCUUGAGUUUCCCACAGAGGUAGAAUUAAAGGAAAUCAAAGGUCCCUUUCAGCUCUGAGCAUCAUAGACUUAAAGGCUCAUUGGAAUAUAAGCACCAAGGAGAAGAGGGAUCUUUGUCCAUCCUUCUUCUUCCUAUAGCCCUACUGUUCAGAAUUUUACCUGGCCCAUAGGAUGUGCUCAGUUGCCGAGGGAACGCACCCUCCUGAGUCACAAGCUGCAGGGGGUAGUCUUUGUUUCUCCAACUCCAUUUCUGGAGAUUUAUGGUAUUGUCCUUUAAAGAGAACUCAGAUUCAGCCCCUCCCAUGCAUAGCUGUGAGCGAACACCAGUCAACACCCAAAUUCUCUUUCUUUGGGAGCUUGAAUUAGUUGAUGUCCCCAUGGGAUCUGACAACUUCUUUUAGACCCAUCCCUGGCACUUGCCUGCCCCAUCCUGAUCUGGAGAGUGGCAUAAAAGGGAUCAACCCCAAUUACCUUCCUUUGACUUUUUCCCCACAGAAACAGCAGAACCAAGACACUCUGGAUCAACUGGAAAAAGUAAUGUGA
rnacentral:lncRNA from 1 species